GUGGGGAAUAUUGGACAAUGGGCGCAAGCCUGAUCCAGCCAUGCCGCGUGAGUGAUGAAGGCCUUAGGGUUGUAAAGCUCUUUCAGUGGGGACGAUAAUGACGGUACCCACAGAAGAAGCCCCGGAUACCUUCGUGCCAGCAGCCGCGGUAAUACGAAGGGGGCUAGCGUUGUUCGGAUUUACUGGGCGUAAAGCGCACGUAGGCGGAUCGUUAAGUCGGGGGUGAAAUCCUGGAGCUCAACUCCAGAACUGCCUUCGAUACUGGCGAUCUUGAGUCCGGAAGAGGUGAGUGGAACUCCUAGUGUAGAGGUGGAAUUCGUAGAUAUUAGGAAGAACACCAGUGGCGAAGGCGGCUCACUGGUCCGGUACUGACGCUGAGGUGCGAAAGCGUGGGGAGCAAACAGGAUUAGAUACCCCAGUAGUCC
rnacentral:rRNA from 1 species